rnacentral:rRNA from 1 species
CCCUAUCGGAGGCGGCGCUGGGGAAUCCUACGGGAGGCAGCAGUGGGGAAUCUUGCACAAUGGGCGAAAGCAUGAUCCAGCCAUGCCGCGUGAGUGAUGAAGGCCUUAGGGAGUAAACCUCGUCACCCGGGACGAGAAUGACGGUACCGGAAGAAGAAGCACGCUACAUUG